rnacentral:RNase_P_RNA from 1 species
GAACUAAGUUGGACGGUUGCGCCAUAUGUUGCCGAAAGGUAUUAUGGUGAGGAAAGUCCGUGCUUCGCAGGGCAGAAUAACUGAUAACGUCAGCCGAGGGUGACCUCAGGGAAAGUGCAACAGAAAAUUACCGCAUAGAAUUGCUAUGUAAGGAUGAAAACGUGAGGUAAGAGCUCACGACACCCUAUGGUAACACAGGGUGGGUGUAAACCCUAUUCGAAGCAACACCGUAGGAAGGGAUUUUUGUUUGCCCGACAAGCCAUUUGGCGUCCUUUCAGGUGGCACGCAUUUUGCGGAGCCUUGUGGUGACACAAGGCAAAGAUAGAUGACCGUCUUUAAUGACAGAACACGGCUUACAGACUUAGUUUGCAA